rnacentral:rRNA from 1 species
UUCCGGUUGAUCCUGCCGGACCCGACUGCUAUCAGAGUGGGACUAAGCCAUGCGAGUCAACAUAGCAAUAUGUGGCAUACGGCUCAGUAACACGUAGUCAACAUGCCCAGGGGACGUGGAUAACCUCGGGAAACUGAGGAUAAACCGCGAUAGGUCAUCACUUCUGGAAUGGGUAAUGACUUAAAUCUAUAUGGCCCCUGGAUUGGACUGCGGCCGAUCAGGCUGUUGGUGAGGUAAUGGCCCACCAAACCUGUAACCGGUACGGGCUCUGAGAGGAGGAGCCCGGAGAUGGGCACUGAGACAAGGGCCCAGGCCCUAUGGGGCGCAGCAGGCGCGAAACCUCUGCAAUAGGCGAAAGCUUGACAGGGUUACUCUGAGUGAUUUCCGUUAAGGAGAUCUUUUGGCACCUCUAAAAAUGGUGCAGAAUAAGGGGUGGGCAAGUCUGGUGUCAGCCGCCGCGGUAAUACCAGCACCCCGAGUGGUCGGGACGUUUAUUGGGCCUAAAGCAUCCGUAGCCGGUUCUACAAGUCUUCCGUUAAAUCCACCUGCUUAACAGAUGGGCUGCGGAAGAUACUAUAGAGCUAGGAGGCGGGAGAGGCAAGCGGUACUCGAUGGGUAGGGGUAAAAUCCGUUGAUCCAUUGAAGACCACCAGUGGCGAAGGCGGCUUGCCAGAACGCGCUCGACGGUGAGGGAUGAAAGCUGGGGGAGCAAACCGGAUUAGAUACCCGGGUAGUCCCAGCUGUAAACGAUGCAGACUCGGUGAUGAGUUGGCUUAUUGCCAACUCAGUGCCGCAGGGAAGCCGUUAAGUUUGCCGCCUGGGGAGUACGGUCGCAAGACUGAAACUUAAAGGAAUUGGCGGGGGAGCACCACAAGGGGUGAAGCCUGCGGUUCAAUUGGAGUCAACGCCGGA